AUGCGAUCUUCUGUCAGUAGAUAUGAAAAAAGCAUUGAUGCUCUGAAUUUAGCAGGCAAUAUCGACAGAUCAGUAGGAAAAAGUGACGGGCUACCUUCUGCACAUGCCUCAUUCAAUGUGAACUGGAGUUACUUGACACAAAGCUGGCCAAACAAGAUGUAGCUACAAACAAAAGGUGUUAAAUGGUUCCAUUCUGCCGGGAAGCAUUCAUCCAUGUAUACGGGUAAGAGUCUAGCUACAUUUUCCAGAUGAGAUGCUAAUUUAGUCAGAAAGUCAUUUCUAUUGCAAGUUAAUGCAUACUGUUAGUUAGCUAGCAAACUUUAGCUU
rnacentral:lncRNA from 1 species